GAUGAACGCUGGCGGCGUGCCUAAUACAUGCAAGUCGAGCGAACAGAUAAGGAGCUUGCUCCUUUGACGUUAGCGGCGGACGGGUGAGUAACACGUGGGUAACCUACCUAUAAGACUGGAAUAACUCCGGGAAACCGGGGCUAAUGCCGGAUAACAUUUAGAACCGCAUGGUUCUAAAGUGAAAGAUGGUUUUGCUAUCACUUAUAGAUGGACCCGCGCCGUAUUAGCUAGUUGGUAAGGUAACGGCUUACCAAGGCAACGAUACGUAGCCGACCUGAGAGGGUGAUCGGCCACACUGCAACUGAGACACGGUCCAGACUCCUACGGGAGGCAGCAGUAGGGAAUCUUCCGCAAAGGGCGAAAGCCUGACGGAGCAACGCCGCGUGAGUGAUGAAGGUCUUCGGAUCGUAAAACUCUGUUAUUAGGGAAGAACAAAUGUGUAAGUAACUGUGCACGUCUUGACGGUACCUAAUCAGAAAGCCACGGCUAACUACGUG
rnacentral:rRNA from 1 species